rnacentral:rRNA from 1 species
GACAUCAGGAGGUUAGUGCAAUGGCAUAAGCCAGCUUGACUGCGAGCGUGACGGCGCGAGCAGGUGCGAAAGCAGGUCAUAGUGAUCCGGUGGUUCUGAAUGGAAGGGCCAUCGCUCAACGGAUAAAAGGUACUCCGGGGAUAACAGGCUGAUACCGCCCAAGAGUUCAUAUCGACGGCGGUGUUUGGCACCUCGAUGUCGGCUCAUCACAUCCUGGGGCUGAAGUAGGUCCCAAGGGUAUGGCUGUUCGCCAUUUAAAGUGGUACGCGAGCUGGGUUUAGAACGUCGUGAGACAGUUCGGUCCCUAUCUGCCGUGGGCGCUGGAGAACUGAGGGGGGCUGCUCCUAGUACGAGAGGACCGGAGUGGACGCAUCACUGGUGUUCGGGUUGUCAUGCCAAUGGCACUGCCCGGUAGCUAAAUGCGGAAGAGAUAAGUGCUGAAAGCAUCUAAGCACGAAACUUGCCCCGAGAUGAGUUCUCCCUGAGACUUUAGGUCUCCUGAAGGAACGUUGAAGACGACGACGUUGAUAGGCCGGGUGUGUAAGCGCAGCGAUGCGUUGAGCUAACCGGUACUAAUGAACC